rnacentral:rRNA from 1 species
AGUGAACGCUGGCGGUAGGCCUAACACAUGCAAGUCGAACGGCAGCACAGUAAGAGCUUGCUCUUACGGGUGGCGAGUGGCGGACGGGUGAGGAAUACAUCGGAAUCUACUUUUUCGUGGGGGAUAACGUAGGGAAACUUACGCUAAUACCGCAUACGACCUACGGGUGAAAGCAGGGGAUCUUCGGACCUUGCGCGAUUGAAUGAGCCGAUGUCGGAUUAGCUAGUUGGCGGGGUAAAGGCCCACCAAGGCGUCGAUCCGUAGCUGGUCUGAGAGGAUGAUCAGCGACACUAGAACUGAAACACGGUCCAGACUCCUACGGGAGGCAGCAGAGGGGAAUAUUGGACAAUGGGCGCAAGCCUGAUCCAGCCAUACCGCGUAGGUGAAGAAGGACUUCGGGUUGUAAAGCCCUUUUGUUGGGAAAGAAAAGCAGCAGGUUAAUACCCCGCUGUUCUGACGGUACCCAAAGAAUAAGCACCGGCUAACUUCGUG